rnacentral:lncRNA from 1 species
UCUCUUUUUUUCUUUUAGAUUUGGGGCUCUUGAAACAUUCUGAGUAUGUUUGCGGGGGGUCCCAGAGGAGUUGUCCUGAAAGCUGCUCGGAGCAGCCACCUUUGCUGUCGCCCAGGCCUUGCCGGGUCGGCUCUGGCCGGCUGUCUGUGCUGCGGCUCCCGAGGCACCCCACCCCCGUCGGCCUCCUGCAACCAGGGUCGCAGCCCCUGCCCGAGACUUCCUGGGAAGCAACCCGCAACGCCCACAGCAUUGGCCUCCUUUCCCCGACUCCUUGGAGAUUGGUCUGCGGCUUGAGUCCGGCUGCAGACACCCACUCCGGCCCUUAGAUUAGACCUGCCUUGGGCGUGGACGCCAAGGUGCGGUACCGAGGCCCCAAGCUGCGCCGAGGCUGGCGAGUUUCUGCCUGGGUCGGGAGAGGGGGUCCCAACAGCGGAGCCCGCUGCAGUCUGGUGACACCUACUGCGCCUCGCACUGCCUCCACGACGGCCCUUGGCCUGCGGAGAAGGAGGCAAGGGCAAGAUGCUCCGUGGCGGGUCAAACCUUCGCCCCUUUAUCUCCUACCAUGCUUUUCAUGUCCAUAUCUUUGUUAGUUAGGUGUAUGACUGCUAUAUUCCAGCGGCUUAUCCUACAUAAAAUACCCCACGGCUUGGGCGAGACUUUGCAAAUUUGGCAUCCCAGGUGAGCGGUCUUGAGUAUUCUGUGCCCUAUCCACCCACCUCGCCCGUGGGUACUCAGGGCAGCGCCCACUUGGCAGAACUGAUGGCCGUUCAGGCCUAGCAGAGUGCGCAUCGCCAAACCUGCACGUCCAAAAUGCAUCCUCGCCUCGCCGGAACGCUGAGCCGCGCAACUCUAAAGGAGCCCGCAUUCCGGAGCACGUGCAAGCAUCCUCCCGCUUUGAAAUGAAUUCGCGCUGCGUCUUUCAUCCCCAAAGGAAAAGCCUUUGGGGCGCUACUCAGACCGAAGACCUGGGAGAGAGAAGUCCCGAAGGCGGGGACCAGGGGCUUGGGCACUCUUCUGCUCACCUGGACUUGAGACACUCGAAGGCCCGAUUAACCAUCGGUUGUAUCAGGGCCGAUGGGUUCAAAGUGGCUGCGCCUCGCGGAGGCGCUCACUCCCCGGGUCCGGGUCUCCGAGGGCAUCUGGAAUCUGGGUGGGUUGUGCUGACUACCUGCAGCGCGCGCGGAUCCCAGGCCAGGAAAAAGGGCGCCGUGUAACGGGGACGGUCGGUUACCUCUCCAGGGAUCUGCCCUGACUUUGUUCGUAAUUUAAGAAGCCUCUGAACUCGGGGAGCGCUUGUUGGGGCACCUCCCUGCACACACACGCCCCCUCCUUCCCGGGCCUCGUAUCUUUCCCUCCACUCUCCCGUUCCCCCCACCCCCAACCCCGCGGCCCCGCCCGUUAGAGGCGCGCAGCGGGCACUCGGUUUACAGAGCCGCCGGUUCAGAUGUUUAUUCGCAGCUAAUUGCUGGUGCAGGAAAAUGCUUGCUACCCCGGCCGAGCGCUUCCGCCCUGUGCUGGCCGAUCCCGCCGGCGGCAGCUCGCUGAUCCCACCCGCGAAGCCACGGAGGAACCGGCGGCAGGGAGGCGGCUGUGCCACCCUGGGCCGGGCUACCGGCGCUGCCCCGGACUCCCGGUAGGGGGAGCCGCCGCGGGCACCAGGCCAGCCCGGCUCCAGGCCUCAGGUCGGCCCUGCUGCCAGCAGCCACCCGGAACGCAGAACGUGGGCGGCCUCCUCACCUGCCCUCCAGGUGCGUGCGGCCAGCAGAGAAGGGAACACAGGGCCGAGCCGGCUCCUCGUUCCCGGCUGUUGCAUCGCAAAGAAGCUACGCGAGACCUAAGUGCAUUCUUUAGGUCCAAAUAUAGUUAGGAAAAUUGGUAGGUAAGGAGAUCACCUCCUUUGCCCAUGCCUCUUAACACCAGUGAUUAAGAAUUCCUCUUAAUUCCACAAAUUUUGAGGCUUAUUUUAAAAAUUUUAGAUGAUCUAAUCCCUUCUCACUGUGUUUCCGAGUCAUUUAUUUCCAGGAGUUUCAGAUGGUCCCAGCACAAAAUAGGAGCUCAGAGGAGACCAGCUGGCUUUGCUGCCGGAUCACCGACCACUCCUCUCCCUUUCUGACUCUAUGUGCUCAAUAAAGGUUCCGCAGCUUUCAUUUUAAGAGAUGGCCAAUGUUGAGAGAGCAACCCUAACCCAGGGUCAAGGGGAAAGCAGCUAGGCGGACUGUGACCCCACAGGGCACCCCCCCCCCCAAAGGGCCCGGCGCAGCAGCACACCUAUGCUGAAGGGCCGGAGACUUCCGGCUCGCUACUCCCACAGAUGAAACAUGCAAGCCCUCCUUCUACAGAAACUCGUCCUUCCAGAGCAAGCCCCAACUCAUGAGAGCUCUCUUAAGGCCGAGUCCUUAAAGUCUCUCCACAGAGAAUUACAAAAGCAAAGAAUUUCACACUUGGAAGGAAACUUAAAGACCAUCUAGCUCAACUGAUGUAGUUUGCUGGCGAGGAACUUAAGCUGAGUGGAGGCAAAGAAUCACACUUCAGGAGAGGAUUUCAAAGCCAGGCUCCUUUCAGCCUCAAUCACUGAACCGGUUUUUAAGGAGAAAGACUUUUAAUCCAAGUCCUGUUAAAAAUGCUAACUAAACCACCUGGAGAAACUCUGCAUUGUAACAUCUGCCUAGGAAUUACCACACACAACAGCAUCUACAGCAAAGCUGAAACUAUACGAACAAAAACAAACCUCAGACUUCCUCUCCCUCCACACUCCGUAUGGGUGAGCUGCACUGCGUAAUAGGACAGAUUUACUAUAAGGCAUUCUAAACACACUGCAGAUUAGCUACUUUGGUUUUCCUGUUCCCUCCCCCUACACCAAGAAGAACUGAAGAUCUUUGCCUUCCAGAGCUUUCUAUUCAUUUAGCUCAAUCCUCUGGGUUUAGCACUAUGAUCUAGGAAAUCCCUGCUCACUAAGAUUCUUCCCUGCGCUGUGUUCUUCUGGCUCCACUGAGAGCACCCGCCGCCCCAGAAGGGGGCAGUGAAAAAGCAGAGCGUUCAGAAGCCACAAUGCCAAGCCAUUCUCUUCACUUACCUGGAAGACCAGUCGCAAAACUAGGGGACUCUGCUUGAAGCCUCAAAGGAGCUGUGUCUCCAGGCUUUAGCAAAAGCAGAGCAGAUUGUAGGAGUUACCGCCAAAGACCCACUUCUCCCUCCUGCGGCUUUGUGUCUCUCCCGAAUGAUUUCUUGAAGUCCACGCACUAAGCCAAGUCAGGCUGGCUGGCAGGCUCCUCAGAUGCCUGGCCUACCGUUGUCUUUGACUUGAGAUGUGGGUAUUAAAAUGCAGAGUUGUGAGGCCCAGGAAGAGAAUGUCAGAAGGGAAACACCCAAGACGCUGUUCUAUCUGGUUGUCUCUUUGAUUCAAUGUUUUGUCCUUUGUGAGCUCUGCCUAGAUAUUUACAUCAGUUGGAAACAUUCAAACAAUAAAAUUUCAAUGACCUUGCAGACCGUGUCCACUCCCACAAACCAAACACAAAUUGAUUGCUUUUUACCAAUCAAUUUUCUACUGCAGCUUAAGGGAAGACGCCACCAACAUCCAGGGAACCCCGGUCCUGAGAUGAAAACCCUCGGGCUCUUUGGGUUAUUAUAAACUAAAGCCGAACUAUGGAGCCGGAGGUAUUCACUCCCUCACUCUUCCCCCCCGUCCUGAAAAACAGCCAUUUGUUUUUAUUGCUUCUAUAGAUAUUUUUAGUCCUAGGAAAGGAAGAAGGAAAAGAAAAAGGGGAUGGAUCUGGAGAAUAGCCACCCAACUGGAUUGGCUGAAAGGCUCAGGCUUCUGCUGACAUCCGGGACCUCAAAACACAGGUCAAAGGACCAUUUCAAUUCAACCAAUAUACUGAGAAGCUUCUGGUUCAUCUAUUGCUCAGCUACCCUCCAUCUCAAGGAAUAAUGAAAACACCUACAAAAAUAAUAGCUAUGAAUGUUACUAGGCACUUUACAUGCAUUGUCUCAUUUAAUCCUAAAACAAUACUAUGAGAUAGAUACUAUUCUCAUCUGCAUUUCACUUUCAAAAGUGAGUUCAGAAAGGUUAAAUAAUUGGCACAAGGUCACACAGCUAAUUAGGAGUGGGGAUCAACCAGAAGAUCUGAGCUACUGGGACCUUCUAUCUAGUUCUGCCAUGAGCCUAAUAGUGAGAAGUCAGAGAUGAGAUUUUCUGCAUAUGACCUUGUUUAAAGGCACCAUUUAGCAAUCAUUUUGAAGUGUGCUUUCAGGCCAGGAACUGCUCCAGGCACAUUAAAAAAUGACAUCCUGUGCGCCCUCUCAGAACUUCCAAUCUAAGAUCAACUGUUAACAGAACCACCUCCUGCUUGACCACACAGACGACGGACGAAAUACAUGGGGGUUGGUCCAUCUGCAGAGCGGACGGUUCUCGCCCCUGUCCCAUCCUGAAGCAGUGGGCUCUCAGCACCCUCUGCUGGGCUCUGCCUGCAGCUCAGAACCUCUCUCUGCAGAGGAACCAGCGGGGCCUUUCCAAGUGCUACCAGGGAGGUCGCCUGAGGGAAUUAAACAGAGGCACCGACUUCAAAGGCAUUCCUGCUGAGUGGAAGGCGGUGCUCCAAUUAUGCUCCUUCCCUGGAUCCCCAAAUGGCAGCUUUUCAAAUCUUGACAUCCAGGCCCUGUAAAUUACUUUCCUGAUCUUUAAGGGGG